rnacentral:misc_RNA from 1 species
CUCACCGCUGCCGUGCCAUCUGCGGAGCCAAGUGGGUCUGGGUGUACGAUCAAAGAAAAAGAGGGCGACCGGUGAAAGGAAGGAAAGCGACACCGCGUUUGGUUGAUUCGUGCGAACGCCCCUCCCAAACAUUCAUGGAGGAGAACCGGUGCUUCGCUUUGUUUCCUUUGCGUCGGCGGCCGCCCGUUCCACCGCGCCAGCGCUCGCAACAGCAGAGGAGGCCGCAUACACGCACACACCAAACCGCUCCUUCAUAUACAGGCUUACAAGCUGCAUAGACAUUGUUGCCCAUUAGACUCCGAUUGUGCAUCGGCUACCCUCUGGUCAUAGAGAGAGGUAAAACGCCCAUCACAGCGUCGUCGUUCUUUUCCCUUUGCAUGGUGAAGCCACACGCGUACUGGCAGGCCAAAAAGGGCGGAAAAGCUAAACGAAAAUGCUGCCCCUUCGAGCUACCCCGGUGCGCAAGGCUCCGGUUAUCGUCCUCGAAGAGGCGAACCGAGCGCAUACAAUCGAAACGGCGGCGUCGACGUAUUCGGAGUUAGAGGCCUCGCCGGCGCCCGUUACUUGGGGAAGCGAAUCCACCUCUGCUUCGCCCUCGCCGGCCUCUGGCGCCAGCCAUCAUUCCUUUCACCCGAUCCGAAAGACGUUUGCUCGCUCGGUGGCGCCGACGACGAAGGCCGUGAAGCAUUCCGCGCAGGCGAGCACUAUCGCUUCUCCCCCUGCCUCAGGUACGCAGCUCCUCAGCGCGUCGACUAGAGAGUCUUCUUCACCGCCAGCGCCACCUUCUCCACUUUGCGGCAUCAUAGACUUUUACCGCGGCUCCUCUCCGUCACCGCACCGACCCACGCAGUAUGCGGGUGGGGACCCGAGAGAAAGCGAGCAAGCGGACCUGAAGAGCGCGGCUGGCAGUCGCGCAGGCCCGGAGUCCCCCUCGCUGUCGUCAUCUAGGGCGUCGGAGAUGUUUUGUCGCAGCCCGGCCCCGGCGCGCUCGUACAUGGAGGAUUUUCUGGCCAUGACCGAUGAGGACGGCAACGCGCCGUUGCCGCAAGUGGAGACAGCGCCGGCCAUGCGCGACAGCAGCGGCGUAGGACAUGAUUCCACCUCUCCUUCCCCGCGCGUAAUCGGCUUGGCUCUCGACAACUCGCCGGUUGUGCCAGAGAUGUGGGAAGAAACGAGUUCCUCUGCGCCUACCUCCUCGACCGGCGUCUCGGACGGGUUUGAGAAGGCGGAGGAGUCGCAGCUGCGGCACCGCAGUGUGUCCGUCGCGCGCAUCCAUUUCAGCUCCGCUUCGCCGAACUCUCCGCUGCCGGCUCAGCUGACCGCCUCCCCUAUGAAAUGGAGGCGGAGCGUGAAAGGCUCGCCUCCAUCGCAGGCGAACGCUUCCGACGUACCGCAACGGUCUGCGGCCAUGAUACAAGAGAAGCAUGCAUCGUCGCCGAUGGCGGACACGAAGGCAGCGUGGUCUGCAACGAUGUUUGCCACGAAAGCCAGAGUCGGCCUCAACCGGAACAGCCGCAGCGGAGAUUUUGUGCACCGCGAGGCGGUGGAGAGAGUUUUGCGCUUCCCAGCCGAUACGACACAGGAGGAGGUUGCUCGCAUCGACUACGUGGAUAAUGAGAAGGAUGGCAAGGGCGCAAAGAUAGCCUCCGCCGCCUCGCAGGCUGCGCCCGUCGUCUCAGAUGACGUGGCUGGCCAUUGCAGUGGACAAAGUCGAGUCCAGAGGUCGCCAUAUGUAGCGCCGCCGCUCUCUUCGCGACGACUUAGUGGUUUCCCGGCGUCGCCGCCCGUCGGCACAGAGCGGCACGUGAUGAUACCGUCUUGUGCUAGUAGUGAAGCGAGCGUUCGCCGCGGCACUUGGUUUGACGGCCUUGGAGGGGGUCUAGUGUCUGCCCCUUGUGAGACACGAACGGACAGUGCUUCGCCAUCAGUGCACCGCUUUCUGGGCUGCAGCGCGCCUUACUUUCCCAUGAAUCGGUGGAAUGUGGCACCUCCGCUGCUGCGGCGCGUAGAGGAAGAGGUGGCUGCCAGUGAGCCUCACCAGCCACCGAAUUGCUCGGCGAAGAAGCCGAGCGUGCGGGCCCUUCUCGCUAGGCUUUAUCCAUUUCCGUCUGCGUCGGCUCGCCGUGGCGCGGGUUCUGGCAUUGUUUCUCAUGACAAGCGGUAUGCCUCGCAGAUGUCCCAACGAACGGCUGACGCACCACCGCCUCGGUGGAACGCAUCCACCAAAAUUCACUGCGACCCGCUCACAGGGGGCAUUGAGCUGGCGCGUGCGAGCAAACGCCACUCGAGCGUCCGGCACGGCGGCCGAAGUGGGAGCAGCGACGACUACGUGAGCGAGAGGCCCAUCUCUUCACCUCGUCGUCGCAGCAGGUCCGCCCCGGCACAGGCGCCACUGCACACACGCGCCUCGCUCUUGAGGCUGGAGGCGACGAAAGCACGUAAAGCGGCAGACGCAGCGCUUCAUGAAGUGGCGUCGCCACCAUUUCAUCCAACCGUCGCCCCGCAUAGUGCGCGCAUCUGCCGAGACAAACUUCGUGAGCUGAAGAGCUCUCACGGUGCCGGUGUUGCUGCGGGUGCGGCGGCGGCGGCGCCAGCGCCAGGGACUCAGCUGGAGCAGGCAUCGCGGACAGAGAACUCUGAAAGCGCAGCUAAAGCAUGGCAUGGCACCUCUAGGCAGGAUAUCGUGGGUGACGCUGCAGUGGUGGCAGACGUCUCCGUGUCGAGCUCAGAGGAGGUCGAUGCAGUGGCGACUGCACGGGCAAAGGACCCCUCGUGCCCCUUAGUGGCAACUUUACCCGCCAGACAACCGCCUCUGCCCCAGGUCGCAGAGCUGUGGGGAGCGAGUUCCAUCGACGGUGCACGUAUGUACGCAGACGCCGCUGCGCUACGAGAACGUAGACAGGCAACGCAACAUCGUUGGCUACAAGAGAGGAAGCCGGAAGAGCAGCCGCAUAUGCAGAUGCACCCUCGCCGUGGUGCCUCCUCGUGUGCCGCGCGGCAGCCGACAGAGGAUUUAGGCUGCCCGAAGCCACCUCGUCCGCAAGUCUCCGCGGCCACAGAUCGCAUUAGCACCUCGACACAGUGCGAUCUGUUGCCCAGUGAGCGCACGGCGGGUCCUGAAAAAAUGGCUGCUCCUGGUUUUGAUUUGCAGCUGGGUGCCACGCCCGUCUCCGUUGGCGCAGAGCAUGCGCCACUGACUGCCGGUUUGCCGAUGGCAACACACACGGCGCUUCAGCGCGUGGACAUGUACAGCACAACGCCAACGGACGCACUAAAGACCCGCGCCACGUCGUUGGAGAGGCCGCAUCGCGUGGAAGACCAGCUACUGGAACUCGAAACGGGCCGGCGACGUCGACUGGGAAUGUUGCGCCAUCUCGCAAGCACGCGCGACUCGCUGACCGGCGAACUCCUUUUCAAACCGUUCACGGGUCGUUGAAGAAAUGCUGGUUAUCAUGUAUAAGGAAAGCCAACUACGUUGGCGUCGUUUCACGGCCCGUCGCUCGCUGCCCUGCACGUGGGUGUUCCCACCCUCUCUUCUUUGCGGCUGCCCCACUUCCGCAGUUGUUUCUCACACGAUACGCGGGCGUGCUGAGAGGUGUCCGGUUGGAUGGCGCAAACC